UUUUAGUAGAGACGGGGUUUCACCAUGUUGGCCAGGAUGGUCUCGAUCUCUUGACUUCGUGAUUCACCCGCCUUGGCCUCCCAAAGUGCUGGGAUUACAAGCAUGAGCCACUGACGGCAUUUUAGCACUUGACUCCCACCACAGCCCCAGGGAAUCCAUCUAUUAUGACACCACUCUCUAAGUGAGAGGAAGCAAGACAUAAAAAACUCAAUUGACUUGCCAAAAGUUGUGCAGCUUGUAGGGUCUGUCUGAUACCAAAGACUUUACUCACUACAUAUGUGAAAUACUUUGAGCUUUUCAGAAUAAGAGCUUGGUGUUGCUAAGUGAUUAAACUUAUACAAUUAAUUAUUCCUGCUCUGGAAGACAAGAGUGUUACCGUUAGCAGAAGUUUAUUUUUGCAAUUCCUCUGGCCUUCUGGCAUUCCCACAUGCCUCCACCCCUUUUCCUAACUGUAUUGCUUGCCUGUUGUUUAAAGAAAAAAAAAUGAUUUUCAAACUUGUCCAAAUAGAAAUGAAUUGAAUUAAAAAUAGUGAAAGCCACAGUGAAGGACUGAAACAGUUGAGAAGUCAAUGACGUUUGUGGAGCCCCUGCUAUGCAAGUUCCAUGGGAAUACCAGGACCGAGGCUAUGUUUUUUUUAAUAAGCUGUCAAUUUUUAAGGGUAAUUUUAUUACCUCCCCUAUAUCCCCUCCCAUCUCGUUUAGUUGGAUGAUCGAGAGAGAAAACAACAUUUCUACCUUCUUGCAAUGGAAACAAUAGACUUUGCUUGUGCCACUUUUAUUUCCCCACUGGGGAAUCUGAGAGAUGACCUGACUGAAUUCCACCCAUAAAGGUCAUGCUUUGAAUUCAAGGCAGAGAGGAAAAAAAAACGAAGAAAACAUUUUGCAAUGAUGCCCCACGAGUCCUAAGCAUGCUGGGGCCUCUCCUGGUUGCAUUGUGGUCUGCUGAUAAGGAUAACACUGAUGACAAGCGGAACAUUUCCAGGACAAAGGAAAUUCCCUGUUUUAUUGUUUAAAGGAAGCCACCAUCCACUAAGGAGAGCAAGGUUUGUGGCGUAGGCACAGAUUUUCCUGCAGGAGAGGCAGGGAGAGCUGCCAAGCUGCUUGUGAGUGUGUCUGUCCCUAAUUUCAUCUGGGGAGCAUUUGCGUGGUUAGAAGUCAAUAAGGGGUCAUGGUAGUUUAUGGCAUUCGUAGGGUUAGGAGCCAGACUGUUAGAAAUGGAAGCACAUUGGUUGGGGGAGUAAAAAGCCUGAUUCAUACAAUGCAGCCCAUUUAGGAAUCAUAGCAAAAGCACCAGGAGAUUUAGAGAAGUUGAUCUGGUUUUGAGUUUAAAUUCUGGACCUCCUUCUCUUCCCACCCCCUCCAAGCCAAAAUGUCAGAAAAGGGCCUGGUUUCCCUUUAUGGAGUGCAAAAUAAACAGAUCCUCAGCAGCAGGAGAGGGGCCCAGUUCCCCAGCCCAUAAUGCCAGAGCUGGGGGUGGGGGUGCUGUGGGGAAAAGCAGUUAUUCUUCUGUCUGGUUAGUAUUUGGCAUUGACUUUCAUUUUCUCCAACCUCUGUUUUCUAGAAGCCUGCCUGUACGGGAAGUACAGGAAUAAAGAGGAGCUGAUUGUGGGGGUUUUCUUGCCAGACUUCAAAGGAGGUGGAUUUUUGAUUUUUGAUAGUUUGGAGAAUUAGUUCCAAAAGUAAAAGCUGCUCUGGGGACUUGAACCCAGACACUGGGAUCUUAGCCGUCUGCCCAUCAGAACUGCUACUCUGCUCCUGUUGGAAUAGAUUGCUCUGGACUUCCCGCUCUCCUCUCCCAGCACAGAAGUGCUGGAGCUCUGGGCAUCUCAGGGUCAGCUGCGGUGAGCCUGGCCACAGGGCUCUGCAUUCCUUCUGGGCUUUGCUUGGUUUGAGUGGGUGUGACCACGAGUUUACUCUGGAGAAAACUGAGACAAAGAGUCUAAAUUGGGCAGGAUCUUGAAUCUAAUGACUUGUUUACAGACCCUGUACUUUUUCCAGUGCAGGGAGGAGGAAGAGGGCAGGGCACACUCGUCACUGUGGGCAUGGGCACAUCUCUGUUUUUCAUCCUAAGGAGGUAGGACAGCUUCAGGAAGCAGCAGGGCAUCUGCCUGGCAGCCAGCAGGCAAAGUGGCAUGCUGUGUAAUUUUCCAAGGUGGGGAGGAAGCAGUGGUGGCUUCUGCUUGGUCCUACCGGCAUGGCUUCCAGGGCACAUGCGGCUCUGAGGAGAAUGCCCGACCCUGCCACAUGAAAGGCCUUGCUUCCUGCCACUUCAGCUUCAAGUGAUGGGGAGAUUACCCUCCUCACCCCUGCUCCAAGUGCACCCCAACCCAGAACACCCAGCCAAGAAUGUACACCUGUGAUGGGGAUAAGGAGGCCUCACUGAACAUGUGUAAGGAGAGAGGAGAUUCCCAGGGGGACCUCGCUGAUAAAAAAGCACACACAUGAUGGUUUGGCUGUCAUGUGACAUUUAUUUAAUAAUUGCUACCUGUAAGAAAUUCCUUGAAAACAAAAUAGUAUACUGCAAGAUUUGAGGACUUGCUCUUCCAGAUUCUGGCGGUCCUUCUGGAGCCCAGGGAUGCUGUUUGUAAGGCAUGUAGGGCCUACCCCAAAGGGCAGUGUGGGGCUGCAGGGAAGGCAGGAAGAGCCUGUUUGUGCGCAUGCCAGGUGGUUUAUAAACAUCCCCUUUAGUUCCUUUGCCAACCCACGAGUAUAUAUUGCAAUUACCAGGUUCUGAUGAAGAAACUGAGGCUCAGAGAAGUGAAAUCCUUUACUCAAGGCCACACGGCUGCCAAAUGUGUCAUGCUACAUCCACUUUGCACCUAGCGUGAACAGGUUUGAAAGCAAGACAGUAACCCCUGCAUGCCUGGGUACCUGAAAUUGAAAAGGGGUGGCUCAAGGAUGUGGGCGGCUCCCUCUCCAGGACAGUUGCAGUUGGGUGUGACUGAUUUGAAACUGUGCUUCAAAAGAAUGAGUUUAUUCCCUGAGUAGCAGAGCCCACACCACCAUGCACUGUAGAUCUCUGUGAUCCAGAAGUCCUCCAGAUGUUCCCAUAAGGACCUCUAAGGUGGUGCUCGAUGCUCGGGACAGUGUGUGUAGGGGGAUGGUGUGUGUAGGGGCUUCCUGGCAGAGAAACCACAUUGAUAAUGGCAUCCCCAGAAAAUUCUACACUUGGAAUGGGACCCAAAUUAAAUAUAGCAUCAGCAACACUAACUAAGCCACUACCUGGAAUGUGUAAAAAUACAGCAACUAACACUUACUUUAUGUUUGUCAUUUUCAAACUUUAUCAUGUCUAUGAAUGCAUUCGAAUGCUGAGAGGUAGGUAGGGCAGCUAUUAUGAUUCAAGAAAGACCACAUCUUUGUGGAUUUGUGUUCUCAUUCCAGCUCCUGCUGUCACUAGAUGUGUGUGGUCUGAGUAAAUCCUUCAACUUCUCCUAGCCUCAGUUUCCUCAUCUGCAACAGGAGAAACUUGAUUUCCAAAGCACCUCAAGCUAUGGGAGCGGAUAUAUGGGGAUGAGUCUCCCCAACAUUCAGAGGCUCCCCCAAAGCUGGCAGCCCAAGGCACACCACCGACUGCCACCACCUUUCCCUCCCCUCUGCUGGCCGGAUACUGGCAGAUGGAGAAGCCAGGACUGGGGUGGGAAGGAGUAGGUGGUAAGGUUCUUUUUCACUUGUUUCCUGCACCUGGAGACAAGAGCAAGACCAUUAUUAGGAUGACUUAUUGUUUAGAGUUUUUUUUGUUUUGUUUUGUUUUUAACUUUAUGGAAAAAAAAACCCCUAUUUUUCAAAUUUCCAUUGUUUCUUUCUACUGCCUGUCCCAGCUCACUACUUUUCAAGUGGCCAGUCACUGGGCAACUCUUAGUGAAUAGUAGCAGAGUGCAUUACUUAUCUGUGCCCCAUGCUGGAGGUACAGACUCGGUGAGGCCGGCAGAGCAGCUGAGGUUAGACUCAGUGGAAAAUCCAGAAGUGCAGAUGUGGAUCCAAAUUGGGCUGAAAAAAUCUCAUGAGAUCAGGCUUUCUUGGACUUCCUGCUUUUAGCCUAAGCACUAUGUUCAACAUAAACGAACUUUCGGUAUUUUGAAACUUCCGUUUCUGAUCUCAGAACCUGGAAGUAAAGAGCUGUUGUGAACAUUUCCACAAAUUUUGUCAUGGUUAUUCUGGAGGCAGAGUUGAACCCUGUAAUUACGAAGCUUGGGACUCACUACACCCACAGUGCCCUGCCUGGAUUGCAGAAUGGGAGGGGGGAAGGCAUUCUUCCGAAGAGUCCAGGCUUUGGAGACAGGCAGGGCCCUAUUCGAAGUCUAGCUCUUCCACUUCCGGCCAUGUGACUGGACCCAUCAGGGUCUCCGUUUCCUCAUCAGUUAGAUGAAGAAAAUAAACCAGUGUGUUCUUUUUCUCCCCUUUUCCCUCGUGUGUGUGUGUGUGUGUGUGUGUGUGUGUAAAACCUGUAUUAUUUAUUUACAUAUAGCUUGAAUAAUUUCCCCUGGGAGUCUCAGGCCACCCGCCUCUGGUAGAUGUGGCCUUGAGAAGUUGCUGAAGUCCACUUAAUUAGCUAUCAAACUGCAUUACACAAAGACAGUGAGGGCUCUGCACUCAGCGUAAGCUCUAUAGGACUGGCACGAUCUCUGGCAGACUGGAAGGACAAGGGGGACUUACAGCAAAUUUUGAGAGCUGAAUUACAUUCGUCACAUCUGCUCCUGUUUCAGGGGCCUCCUUUGCUUUCCUGGGAGAAGCAAGGGCGAGAUGCAGGGCAGGUCGGUGCUGUGGGAAAGCAAAGUGCUCUAGUGGCAUGGGGUCACCAGCUGAAAUGGACAAGAGCUGUGUAGGGCAAGGAAAAAGGGAGGAGAUGGAGUGAGGGCCAGGGGAGGCAAGGGACACGGAAAUCCCGCCCAAGGCUGCUGAGAAACAGCUCCCUCGGUAAGCCCGGCCUGCUUGCGCCACCUCUUCUCUAUUUCUUGGCUUACUUUUUUUUUUUAAACUGAUUAAAUGCAUCAUUUAAGUUUUUUAAAAGAAUGACUUCAAAAGUGGCACUUCAUCCUUGUAUAAAAUUUAAAAUGUAUGGAAAAUUACAAAAAAAAAUGUAAAAGCACUCAUAGUCUCACGAUACAGAAAGCAACCUAUUUCAUAUUUUGGUACCCUUCCUUCCAGUCUUUUUAAUCCAAAUAUAUAGACAAAUAUGUAUUGUUUUUAUCUAGCCAGAAUCAUAUUGCUUUGUAACCUCCUUUUGUUCUCUUCAUAUUAAAUUCUGGCCAUUUUCUUUUGUAUCAUGAAAGUGAUAUACACUGUAUCACUACUUCUGAUGGCAGCAGAGCAAAUCACUAAACAUAGAAGUCAAGUCCUGGGCUUGGGAAGAGUUUAUAUCAUCUUAGUUACACCCAGCUUCCAAACGUGGGAUGGCAUUUAGUAACAGAGGCAGCCUUAUCUCUUUCGUAUUUUCAUAAAAUCUUCAGUACAGGCUCUAAAAAGGAGCCCACAUGAAAUGCUGAAAACACGAUGUUAAAAAAGUCACAAAGUCCCCUUGAGUCAUAAAACCAGAAACACUGGGGGGUGGGGAGGCCAGGCUGGGCCUUCGCUCACCUCCUUGUGCCUCUUAAUGCAGCCCAGAUGGAAGCUCGUUCAAGAGCAGAUCGCAGGCAAGCCCAGGGCCCGAUCUGAUAGCACAAAGACACCCACAACUCUGAAUUUCCUGCUACCAGGAGGCCUCUUUUUGCAUAGGCUGUUUGAUUUACACAUACGUGGAAAGCAGCCACUAAUAAUAGAAGGGUUGCCUCUUUUCUUCCGUUGUCAGACUCCGCGGGCCCUGCUCAGCGACUCCUGCGUCUCCAGGCAGCUGUCUGCCACUUUUUCUGCCCCUCGCAGCAACAGGGUCAGCCAGGCUCCUGUAAGAAAGAGGCCAGGCCCUCUCCGCCUUCUCUGUGUGUGGCGGAGGUGGGGAAGGUGCUUUCUGAGGGCUCUUUGUCUGGUGAGCAAGCCGGACCUCUGUGCAACAGAAGCCCCCUCUGGCCACCCCAGCCCUUCCCCCUACCCUGUCAAGUUCUGCACAGUCAGUGUUUUCUCCUUCAGCCCCAGCUAACCUGAACUCGCUCAACUCAACCAGAGAAGCUUCUGGAGAAUCUGCCCUUGCCAACUAGGGGCUGGCAAGCUUGUGAGAGAAUUAAUUCUCUGUGAGCCCCUUAAGACUAUGUGGCACUCACCCCUGCAGGAUGCCUCACAGAGAGCUGGAACGGUCAAACCCAUCAGGAGUGCCUUCUUCUGCUGCCUCGAUUCACAUGGUGCCAUUCUUUCAAUCAUUCAUUCUGCCAGCCUGUGCUUGGUGCCUCCCAUGCUUGGCACGGUUUAGAAUAUAGGGAUGGAGUGGAGGUAAAGACAGACAAGGUCCCUACUGUCAUAGAAGAAACAAAGAAUACAAAGAGAAGAAACUAGAAUUGAAGUCUGUGGUGGGGAUUGCAAGGGGAGAUGCCUGCCCAAGUUAUAAAAGAGCCCUAAUACUUUUUUGCUUUAUGUUUGAAAUUAUGACCCUGUCCUUAGCCUAUCCCCAACCAGCCUCAAGCAUGGUUCAGGCUCACAGUUCAGCCACUGAGCUGCAGAGAGACCAUCUCUUUAUACAAGAUCAAUUAUGGGUGCAAGAGCACGCCUGGCUCAAGCACACGGACCCACAGACCCUUGUGGUCAGGGAGUUCCUACAUGAACUCAAACCUUUGGGGGCUGGGAUGUUUACUCUUGGCACACUGGGAUUUCCUGUUUCUAAGAAAAUGGGCCUAGAUACUCAGCUACAUUAACCAAACAACAUGUUGACACAAAUGAAUCUGAAACUUGCCAGCUCCAGGCUCUCUAGAAAGUUAGGCUUGGGAAUGAAGGCAUUUGUGUGACUUUCCAAACUCUGAAUUCCAAGCCCAAUGACUCAGACAAGGUAUUAAUUAGAGGGAUCUGCUUCCCUCCUCUUCUUGCCUAAGAAGGCCCCACUAGAGUCAGAGGUUCCCUGGUCAUCCUUAAAUAGGGAGAAUGUUUCCCCUGUCUGCAGCUGGUCUUAGGUGGAGGCAGCCCAGGUAGCGUGGUAGGAUGCUCUGAAAGACCCACCCCAUAAAAGCCUCCAUCAUCAGUUUCCAUUUGCCGGAAAUCCUCACCACGAGUUCACUCCUUUGAACAUCCAGGAGGCUCAUGUAAAAAUGCAGAAGUUACCCCGUGACAUGACUUAACUAUAUGACAUUCGACCCAUGACUAUACGACAUUUACUAUAUGAGCUGAGGCUAGCAAGGUCCUGGGAAUAUGGAAAACCAGGAAAAUUUUGACAGGGUAUGGAGGAGAGGAAGGGGAGAAGGCAGAGGAAAAGCUGACAAGGUCAAGGGAUACUUCUUGGAGAAGGGAGAAGGGAAGGAGGAAGAUGUUCAAGGGAGAAGCAGAGCAGCCUGGAGAUGCCAGUUUGGUGAUUAUCAACACCUUGGCUACUUAGCUGGAAGUGGCCCUCACAAUGCCACUCCUGCUGUGCCCACCUCCCGGAGUGCCAGCAAACACUGCAGGAUUUGCCUGCUCAGUCUCCAGGCAAUGCAGUUUCGUCUGCUGGGAAGAAUCUUACCGUUUUUAACCUGUAUUUGAACCAAGAGAUAUGUAUGACUUCCACAGGAAAGUGCAACUGUGGUCCAAAAACGUAUAAACUAUCAAAGGUUUAUUCUAUAACAAAAAUGACAGUCCUUGAGAUGUGGCUGAUUAAUAUCACUAGAUCAGGAGCUACUCAGCUGAGGUAAAGUCCCCUUGGGAAAGCCCACAGCCCAGGGAAUGAGGGACAGAGACCAGUGUGCAGAAAGGCCAUGCAGAAGCACCUCGUGUGGUCCAUUUCCCUGUCAAGCACUGGGAACCGCAGGGUGGGGAAGAAUCCAAACAAUUGGAAAGAAAAAUACCCCUGUCCUAGCUGUUCAGGCUACUGUAACGGAGUCCCAUAACUGGGUGGCUUAUCAACAGCAAAUGCUUAUCUUUCACGGUUCUGGAGGCCAGGAGUCUGAGAUCAGAGUGCCGGCAUAAUCGGGUUCCAGUGAGAGCUGUCGUCUAGGUUGCAGACUGGCGACGCCUCGCCAUGUCUCUGCGUGGUAGAAAAAGGGCAAGCUAGCUCUCUCAGGUCCCUUUUAUUAAGGAUCCUAAUCCCACUCUGAAGGCUCUACCUCCAUGACCAAAUCACCCCCUGCAGAUCCCACCUCCUAUACCAUCACAUUGUCCGUUCAGAUUUAAUGUAUGAAUCUGGGGAGGGACAUAAACACUCAGUCCCUGACAACAUGACAGCUGGAUUCAAAUCCAAAACCACCAUGGCAUGAUUAAAGAGAAGAGAGGAGAAGUGGGGGUUCAGGCAGCGUAGGCAUGAUGGAAACUCCCUGUGGGCUUGGACUCACAUAGGAGGGCUUCAUGGAGGAGGUACAUUGAGAUGCAGGAAGGCUCAUCUCCACGGGUGUCUACAACCCCGUGAUGAGUCAGUCUUUGCAAACAUCAGAAGCCCAAGAAGCACGGGGAGCAGGAACGCUAUGAGUAAUCUUAGGAAAUUUGUGCUCCAGGAUGCAGACAUUCCAGAAAAAGACAUGAAAGAGAUGCAUUCCUGGUGCUGUAUAUGUGCUGAGCCCCAUGAGGCAGUGAUAUAUGGGAAAGAAAGGCGAAGAAGGAGGAGAGGUACAGGAAAACCCUGCUUGAGAUUCCAAAAGUAGAUCAAGGAAACCCAUUUGUUCUUUCAUUAAUUUAAUCAUCAUUUAUUGAGUACCUACUAUUUCUAGGCAGUGUGCAAAGUUGAGAAUGCAAUUAUGCCUAAGACAUGGUCCCUGUCUUUGAUAAAUUCAAGAUCCCCGAAGGGAAAGAGGAUAUGACAACUAAUAUUUUGUUCAAUUCAGUUAAAUAAGCACUUAUAGAGUACCGACCGCAUGCAGAACACUGACUAAGUUGAGUAUGAAUGAUACAAAGAAGAAGCUAUCCCAAACUCUCCUGCCUCACUGCCUGAGCCUCAUGGAACCCUAAAUAAGCCUGGAAAGGAAUGAGUGGGGAGAAAGGGUGAGGAGAAACAAGAGCACAUCGUCUUGAUAUGGGAUUAAAAUGGGUGCGUGCUUCUGGGAGAGGCACAAAGGUUUAUUGUGGUAGAGAUUCCCAAUAUCCCAGAUUGCCUUCUGCGCUCUCAGGUCAUAGCCAGCCUCACUGGGAGGCCCACUCAUUCCUCAUUUCCCUUCCUUGGUAAUAUCACUCUGAUUCUCUCUCCUCCCACCGGCAAAAGUGUUUGAUUAAGCCUGCAGAGAAUGAUGGGGUUCAGUAAGAAUGCCAGCAAGGAGACAGCAUAGAAGCCACCCAGAAUGGGGCUGACAGCUUGGCCUCCUGACAGUCCCCCAUGCUCUAUUCAGGGGGAGGAUGCUAGGCUGAGACUCUAGAUGUUUUCCUGGUUUAGAUAAAAACUAUAAUUAAGCACCACAAGUGCCAGUGGAUGGGUGAGGGUGAGGGGAGAGCCGAAGAUGAGCAGUUUGUUGUGGAUUCAGUUUAUUCCCGGUUCUUCUUGCUUCAAGUCUGCGUUCUGCCAAAGAUAUACGGCUGCAUAGGCAAAGGGACCCUCUAGGUGGGCCUGAAGGUGAUUCCCACAUAAUUCUCAGAAACUCAGUCAGAGUCUUCCUGUAUCUCCUGCUUCCUCCCCUUUCCCCUGCCCCCAACCUACACACGUUGCUGAAUCCACACGCACACACAUUCAAGCAGGGCAUAGGUGGCUGGCCGAUCCACUUCAGAUGAUAAGCAAAAGUCUUGGCCCCUCACUACUCACCUGUCAGCUUCAGGCAGCCAGGGAGCCAGCAUGGGAGGCACACCUCAUGAAAUCCACCCUGACGCCUAAAUGCUCACAAAUGCCCACAAACCCUUAAAUGUAUCUAGGAGCCUUUCACCAACUGAAGCCUGAAAGCAAGGUGAAGCAAGGACGUUAGGAAUGUAAUAAAUGAUUUAUAAAAAGACAUCCCAUCAUCCCUUUCUUUUAUUCUCUCUCUCUCUCUCUGGGUGUGUGUGUAUCUGGCUGAGUUGCCUCAGGGCUGGUGGUUUCAAAACUAGCAGCUGCAAACUUAUGAAGGAAAAAAAA